GGAAAGUUCUUCGAAACUGGGGAUAAAACGUUUUGUAAAGAUUAGUACCCUCGUCAUAGUAGGUCUUGAUUCCUAAAAUGCCUUGCAUGGAAGAAAUCACCGAACUGUUAAAAGAAUCGAAGUAAUUCGAGAUGGUAUCCGUAAUGAUCCAAGCUGAGUCUCUUCCAGUAAGUCCAAUCUCCUUCGCUUUCUCAAACAAAUGGAUUGUCAUCGGUAAUGACGAUUGAAGAACAAUGUAAACCCGAGAUUGAACGUUGAAUAAUUUUAUCAACUCAUCUUGCACAACUUCAUUUGGAUUAGAAACAGAAGAAAGUGGAGGAAGAACCACUCGAUAUUCAAUCUCGGAACCAACAUCGCGUAGAGCCUCCGAUAAAAGAGCUAACUUCCCAGAAUCACCACCAAAAGUAUCAUCUUCAUAAAUUACAACAACCCUUUUCCAGUUAAAUGAACUAAUAGUAGCUGCAAUGCAUUUCAUUUGUUCGGAGUCACCAUUAGCCAUUGUUACCAAGAAAGGCCAACGAGUGGGUGUUAUUAUAGCUGGAACUGCAAAUGAAAGAACCGGAACUCGAGCUCGGCUUCCUAUAUCAGCAACCAAAGCUGCUUCUUCCCAUGUUUCCAACCCAAUGAUUGCUUUAACUUCUUGUUCUUCAAUCAAUUUCUUAGCUGUAAUCAGAUUAACCAUUAGUAAAUAUUAAUAAACCUCGUUGACAUACUAAUUAAGGGAUCACUAAAAAGAAUGACUCACUAACCAGCAGUAGCUGCAAGUAAGGGAUCUCUUCUAGAAUUCUGAAUAUAAAGGGAGAGCUUAUGGUUGUUUGAAACGUUGUUAUUGAAACUCUGAACUGCAAUUUCCAAAGCUGUUUUCUCUUCUUUUCCGAUUCGAGAAUCGACGUCGAUGAUGGCACCGAUGUUAGUCACCUUGUUAUCGGUCUCUUCACCAUAUGAAGAGACGAGAAAGAGAGAUAUGAACACAAAAGUGAUACAACAAGGUCGUUGCAUGUUGUUAGGGAACUCGUAAAAUAAUUGCACAUAUGAUACAUACAGGAACUCAAAGCGUUUAAAUAAUAAUGAGAAAAGAUUCGUUUAAAAGCCGUCACCAUGGAAAUUUAUGGCCCAGAACUUUUGGUCUAUAUGUUGGACUUGGUCUGCCAUGAAUAAAGUCAACUAUGUUUACUUCGUUAAAUGAUUGAGAAUCUUCAUGCAACCCCCCCUUUUUGUCUUUUUCUGGUUUUCCUGCCAAUUGUGGAAAGUAAGAGAUUUGACCCAUGAAAACUAGGACCAAAAUCAUUUCUAGAAAAAAAAAAUUAACCGAUAAUGAUAAAUUUAACUCUAAAUUUUUAUAUCUUUUAUUUAUUUGAUUCUUAUUAAUUUUUAGCUAAAUUUGAUUUUUAACUUUUUAAAAAGUAUAAAAUUAUCUUUUUGAUGGAAGUACAACUAAAAUAAUAAUCUUUUAAAGGGAAAAUGCUCAAAUUAGGGCUUAACAAUUUAGAUAUUUCUUACUUUUCAAAAUAGUCAAACGAGACUCUAAACUUUACGAAAGUGUUCAAUAAGGAUUUUUCACGUACUUCAAUCUAAUUUGUAGGAAAAAUUAAGUAAAUAUUGAUGUGUUUAGAAUAAAACCUAUAACACCCGAAUUAAAUAUUGCUUGAAAAGAAACGAAAGUAGUUAGAACAUAAUUUGGAACCUGAUAUACGACAUUUGAAAUCCCUUAUUUGAGUACUUUUGAAAAUGUUAGGCCCUUAUUUGAUAUUUUGAAAAAUUUGACUUUCAUUUAAGCACUUUUAUAAAAGUUAUGCCCUUACAUGACCAUUUUAAAAAAUUUAGUCAUUAUAGGAGCAACCCUUAAAAGGUUGGGCCAAUUUAAGCAUUUAACAACUUUUUAACGAUGUUGGCGUGGCAACUAGCAUAGUAAUUCAUGUUUAGUUUAUGUUAACAUGAUACUAUUUAUCUUAUAUCACGUCAAUAAAUAAUUAUAAAAUUAUAAAAAUAUUUAAAAAUAAGAAGUUAUAAAAAAAUUAAAGGUUUUAGUUAAUAGUUCUCUUAAAAAAUAAUAAUGUAACUCUUUUUAAAAUGUUUAGAGUUAAAUUUAGCUCAAAAAUAAAAUAAAGGUAAGGUUAAGUACUAAAGGUAAGGUUAAGUACUAAAUAUAUAUCAUUAUGCUAAAAAUAAACUUAUUGAUUUAUAUUAGAAGAAUAAAACAAAUGAAAUUAUGUCACAGGUAACAGUAUACAGUUGCAAGAGCCUUCAUUUCUCUUCUUUGGUCAUUUAACCUCCUGGAAUGUACAGCAUUUCAACAUCAGCAGCUUCGAGGGAAGCGGCCUCAUGAUUCUCGGCUGCAUCGGGACUCGAAUAUUUCCAUCUCGAAGAUCCUCGUCCGAUAAUUUCCGGCAGUUGAGGCCGAGUUUGGUCUAUAGCAAAAUUAAUUUGUUGUCCUUGGUAGAUAAAUCUAGCAAGCCUAAUUGCCUUACUCCAGAUACUAUUAUUUCUUGGACUAGUAUUGCUUCUAUAUUGGUCUUUUAUUAUCUUGAUGAUGAAUAAGAAGAAACAAAUGGUAGAUGUUGCACCAGAGAUUAUAUAGAGACCCCAGAAGCUAUGAAGCCUCAGUCUUUCGGUUCGAUUGUCGGUCACACCGGUUGAACACUCGGGUGAGGGUGCAAACCACUUCUCUUCAAGUUCUUUCAGCGCUCCGUUUUCCGAUAGAGUUAGGAUAGCUUUUGAGAAGUCCAUGGCGAUCGGAGAGCCUUUAUGGAAUAUCUGCAUAGGUAAGAUUUUGUUUAAGUCCAUGGUGCUGAAAUGGAUAGAAACAAGUUUGGAAAAUACUACUUACAAAUCCCAAUCCUCCAAAUCUGUAGGUUGGUGUGGUGGCUGAAAAUUUCUUACAGUAAUUGUUGAUGAAGACCUUUUCGUAUGGAAGUUCGAGAAAUGCAGCAGCGAUGUGCUUCUUUUCGAAUUCUCCUAUAUAACUGUCUUGGCUGUUGAUUGUCUUGAUGUUCUCCGAUUUAAACUGAAGCACAUCGACUAGAUAGUUUCUUACGAACGAAUCUCCGUCGCAACCGACUUUCAAGUUGUUCCUCUUCAGAAAUUCGAUGUCUGUCACAUUCACUUUCAGUUUAUUAACCGUCAACAUCGAGGAAAGACUAUCCGUGUAACUCGAGGUUAGGAUGAGUGAAACAAAGAGCCAAACAAUAACCACAACUCUGGUGAAGUUGUUUUGUACAUUUUCCCCUGCAAAAAAAUAAGCAUUACUUGUAUUGUGAGUAUGCUUGAAUGUUUUCAAUCGCAUGCAGUUUCUGGUACUUACUAUGCGCGAAGAAGAGAGAAGAGCAAGUGAACCACAUCGCGGUUCCGAUUUGAGUCUUCCAUGUGCCUUCAAAUUCAGGAUUGGACCGAUGUUCCAGGAACCAAACUAUGAACAUUGUGUAGAUCAACAUGGCAGCAGUAGCCAUCCACAUCUCCCAUGUAAAAGGCUUCAUGAACAUCCAUGCUGAUUCUUCGGAUUUCGCUGGUACGAUCAUGGACAACCCCGAUUCUGCAUAUGGCUGAGUAAACUCCACAAGUUCUGCUCUGUUGGCUAGUAUCGUUAUAUCCCCAACAACAGCAUCGAAAGUCUUCCAUGUGAAGCAUUUGUUAGACAAGAUAAUGAUAAACAUUUUUACAAGGACUUGGAAAUUAGUUGAAAGAGUUCCCAUUCAUUACCUUGUUAUGCACGCAACGGACCAAAUCAUCGUAAGUGCUGAAAUGCGGUACAAAUUUGUAAGGCAGGUCAUAACCGAGAACCUCUCGUGCCAUUUUGAAAAGAUCAAUGCAGUAACCUUCAGGUUCCUCAUUUUGAUUACUUUCAUUUUUAACUUUCACAAAUUUCUCAAAAGAGGUUCUACCAGGAACUCCGAUAAUCAAUGGCCUUGCAUUCGUAGGCAUCGCCCAUCCUUUCGGGUUUCGGACUUGGUUCAAGUCAUCAGGCCAAGUGACUUGACCAUACAAUCCUUGAGCUGUAUUACCAUCAUGUUCAGUUUCUUCAUUAACAAGGCUCCUUGAGAAUCCAAAGCUUGGCAACCAAAAGUCAAGUUCUUUAUAUUUCUUGCCAACCACGUUUACUAUUCUCAAUGUAGGAUUCUGUGACAACAUGCCCCUUUCAAAUUGGAUUUCUCCACUUAAACCAGUGAAAUUGCUUGACAGGAUUUUUUCAGACAAUUGUUUUGAACUGAUAUUAGUGUUGAUCAUUCCUUCCAUAGCCUCGGUGAUGAUUUGGAUUGCAUCGUAUGCUUUUAAAGCAUAAAUUCCGGGUUCAAAGUUGUCUUCGUCCUCAUACUUUUUUCGGAAAACUUGCUUGAACUGCCCAUAAAAGCUUUCGUACUUGCUACUAUUCUCGGUAUAAUAGGUCUUGAUUCCUAAAACACCUGCCAUGGAUGAAAUUAUGGAGGUGUUGAAAGAGUCAAGGUAAGUUGUGAUUUUAUUUGUGAUUAUCCAAGCUGAAUCUCUUCCCAUAAACCCCAUGUUCUUAGCUUCUUCAAACAAAUGAAUGGUCAUAACUGAUGAUGCUUUAAGCACAACAAAAACCCGAGAUUCAAGGCUAAGAAGCUUCAUUAGCUCCUCCUGCAUAACUUUUUUGGUAUUAGACAGAGAUGAAAUUGGUGGAAGAACCAAGGUAUGUUCGAUUUCGGAACCAAUAUCUUGUAAAGCUUCGAUUAGAACAGCUAAUUUCCCAGAAUCACCACCAUAUGUUUCAUCUUCAUAAAUGGCGAUGACCUUUUUCCAUCCAUAUGAACGAAUGAUAGCUGCAAUGCAUGUCAUUUGUUCAGAGUCAUUGUUAGCCAUUUGUGCCAAGAAAGGCCAACGGAGAGCCGACAAUGGCAACGUUAUAGAAGGUGCUGUAAACGAGAGAACUGGAACUCGAGCUCGUGUCCCGAUUUCAGCAACCGGAGCCGCUAAUUCCCAUGUUUCCAAGCCGAUAAUGACCGUCACAUUGGUCUCUUUAAUCAGCUUUUCGGCUGCAACCGAAUAAUUCCUUGUUACCAUAACUUAAAAAACAAGCAAUCAAUGAAUCAAUACUAUGAACAAAUCUGGUACAUGAAAUUAUUACAAACCUGCAGCAGCAGCUAGCAUGGGGUCCUUUCCAUGGCUCUGAACAUAGACGGAUAGCCCAUGAUUGUUCAACUUAUUGUUGAAGCUUUGAACGGCGAUUUCCAUGGCGGUUAUCUCUUCCUUCCCGAUACGGGACGUAACAUCGAUUACGGCACCAAUGUUUGUAACUUUAUGAUCAUCCUCCUUAGCUUGAACUCCUUUAGAGAUGAUAUUGAUGCAUGAAAAUAAGAUCAGUACCAGGAUGACGAGCUGACGUAUUAAAACUGUAUCAAUGUUAGCCAUUGUAUGAAGUCUUUGCAUACUGUUUUGGAACAAAUUACAAAAUAUCUUGAAUCAUGACAAAACCAAACUAUGCUUUUAAGUUGUUUUACGCCUGAAUAAAAUUUGUGGCUAUAGUUUUAUUAAGCAAUUAAGAUGUUGAAUUUAGUUCCCAUGCAAGACAUGCAAAGGUGGCCAUGGAAGGAGAAGUGGCAGCUUGCAGUCGAGCUAUGAAGUGCAGAAACUGGAGCUUGAAGUUGCCUCACUACUUGUUAUGUUUUGAUUGUAUUUUUAAUUAUUAUUUUGUAAUCUAGUUCAUGUUGAACUAAGUUGGUAAACCUUAUGAUGUUUUUUGUUGAUUGAUUGACUGAAAAAUCAGCAAAGAAACUUAAGCAAGCUGAUUAACAAUUUCCAAUGUAAAUUUAGUGGUGUUAGGUAUGUCAUUAGGUAAAGACUUGUUCAUUUUGUUGUUAUUAUCUAUUAUAUGUAAUGGCAUUAUGCCUUCUGGAUUUGUUAAUGAAAAUAUCAGCUCUUUUCAUUCAAAAUACUCUCACUCAAUUACUUUUGUUUUUCCAUUCGCAUGUGUUUCUGUUCUUGCUUCUGAGUUUGUUUCUUCAGCAAGGCUCGAGGCUUGCUAUACAAGCAAGAUUGAAAACAAUCUGUUGUUGUCUCUUUGCACCAACAUAAGAUAUGUGAGGGAAACCCAAAUAUCUGGUCCAACUAAUGUAAUGAAAUGUCUUAGAGUUGAUCUUCUCAAAGGAAAAAAGUCAACUGCAUUUACCUUUCAACUCAAGUUAUCUUCAAUCUGGAUUGUAGGAGUUGACGUGGCUUGGUUUUGAUUCAGUAUUUCAAGAAGCAAGAAUAUUCUGACCAAACAGGAUACUUACUAGGAUUAAACUUGGAAGCGUGUUGGUAGGGGUGAUAAAAAAACCUAAACCACUAAAGUUUUCCAUUAAAGGCUUUUAGAGUUUGGGUCGUUGAGUUUUCCAUUAAAGUUUUUUGUUUUGUACUGUGACAUUGGUUGUUUCCAAAGGAAAUGAUCAAAAUAUCCUUUUUUUAAUUUAUAAUUAAUUUUAUAUAUUUUAAUUAAAAUUUCUUGAAGUGUAAUAUAUUUUAGUUGGAUAAUUUUGUAUGUCAUGUAAUUCAUUUAAUUUUGUAAAAAUUAAUAUAAUAUAAAGUUAUUUAAUAUUUUGUAUAAUAUGUAUUUCAUCGGGCACUUGGGCUUAGAUUUGUUCAUGGGUUGGGUCACUCAACUCAACCCGAAGGCCUAUCCGAAAAGUGAGAGAAUUUGGGUAAAAAUAUAGGAUCGAAAAAUGGGCUUGGACAAAAAAAAAGUCUCAUUUAGAAAACAGGUCGAUAAGACUUUUUUGGCCCUAGCCAGGCCUGACUCGAAAAUUUAAAAAAAGAUGUUUUUUUUCACUAUUUUACUAUCAUUUCACUAUUAUGUUGCUACUAUUUUGUUGUUAUUGUAUUACUCUUGUUUUAUUGUUAAUUUUGUUACUAUUUUAAAGGCAUUUGAUUGUUAAGUUGUAUCUAUUUUAGUGCUAUUUAAGUAUACAUAUUUUUAAAAUUUAUUUUCAAUUUGUUGGGAAACAUUUAUUUUAAUGUUUUUAGUAUUUUUGGUAUAUGUUUUCAAAAAAUUAUAUAAAAAUUUAAUAUAAACAGGCCGGACUCGAGUUUUAACAUUUUUACCUAAACUGAAUUCAGGUAAAAUUUUAGGCCCAUCUUUUAAGUUGGACCCAACUAAUAGAUCUAAAAUUUUGAUUGGAUCAACCUCACGGACACUUAUACUUGGGCUCAUUGAUUAAAGAUUUGACUUUUAGGCUGAAUUUAUCUAAAUUUAUAUAAAAAUUUAAAUUGUUUUUGAUAGAUUUGUAUCAAAUGCCGAAUGAUAGUUGGGCCUUGGAAACCCUAAACCGAAGUGAGGGCAAAGCUAAAUAAAAAGCCCGUUUAUUUACAUCACUGAAUUUUGAUUUAAUUUCUCUCGAAUCGGGAAAAGUAAAACUGAGCUUAAAAUUAUGGCGCAGUUCUGGAAACCGGGAACCGAGAAGCCCCGCCUCCUCGAGGACGAGGAUGGCGGUGUUAUUUUCUUGUCAUCUUCUUACUCUUCAUCUUCUUCUGGGUAUUUUUUUCUCUCACUAUUUUUUAUUCAAUUUUUGUUCUUUGAUUGUUCUUCUUUUGUCUUUUCUCUUCCUUAUUUGUUUUUCCUUCUUUUACAGAUAUGGGUACGUGAGCAUUGAGAAGCGAAGACAGAGGCUUCCUGUUUAUAAGUAUAGAACUGCUAUUCUUUAUUUAGCGGAGUCUUACGCUACUACCAUUGUUGUUGGUGAAACGGGUAGUGGUAAAACCACUCAAAUUCCACAGGUUUUCUCUCCUUUUUCUUUAUUUAAAAAUAAAAUCUUUAACUGUUUACUUGAAUUCCUCUUUGUAAUUUGAAGUUCAUUCUGAAUCUUUUGUUGCUGAGAAUCUUGACUGUAAUAUGUUUGAAUUGCAGUUUUUAAAAGAAGCUGGUUGGGCUGAUGGUGGGCGUGUUAUAGCUUGCACGCAACCAAGACGACAAGCUAUGCAGGAAGCUUUGAACUCCUAUUUGUCUGCAUCUUCAUCUUUUUCAAUUGAAUGUAAAUGUAACAUUCAUAUCUAAUCAGAUCGCUGAGUCCAUGCCAUAGCAUAUAGUAUUCGUUGUUAUUCAUUUUAUAUUUAAUUUAUGAGCAAACAUGCAUAUAAUAUAAUAUAAUAUAUCAUAUUUCAGUUCUUAUACAAGUUUACCAAAAUUAUAUUGUUAACUUGAAGUUGAAUUAAGAUAAAUUGCAAUGAUUUCAAAAUAUUGAGUUAACAUCGUGACUUCAAAAGUUUCUCGUCGCGAUGCAACGUAUUGACUAGAUCUCGUCAUGACGAUAAGAGUUCAACGUCUAAAAGAUAUAAUUUAGCACCUAACAAACUUCACCUAUAAGACCAUUCCAAAUCAACUAUUUCCCAUUUCAGCUAAAUAUACAAGAUUCAAAGGCUUAAUUCCAUACACUGCUACCUUAAUCACUAAUGUACUAAUACAAUACAGUGAUUCCAUCAAUACCAUUUAACUUGUAAACUAAAAUCAUAGUAUAAGCCAUUCAAGCAUUUGGUAUGAAUAUACAUCUUAAAUUUGACCAUGACAAUUUGGAUUUUGAAUUUUAGCAUACUCAAUUUCAUAAUUCAACUAGGUGGCUAAUUUAAAAAAAAAUCAAUUUUAACUUUACCCUAAACAUAAUUAUUUAUUGUGUUACAAAUCGACUCAACUUAAGUACAUAUUAUAUAAAUACAUUUAACAAAAAAAAACUAUACAAAUUUUGUUGAAUUGAAGAUUGCUUCCUAUACAUUAAAGUUACUUUUCAUAAUCUUAAAGUUCACUUGUACUUGCACACAGAUAAAAUAAACCGUACACUUAACGAUAACGGUAAAUGAUAUUUUCAUGAUUCAAAUCAUUAUAAUACAAAUUUAAACCAAUUGCAUUCAUUCAAUUCAAAUUGAAUUCAUAGCCCAUCUUUAUACAAUUUCGUGCCCAACAACUUUCAAUACAAUAUAAACAUGCACAUAAUCAUUUUAAAAAACUAAUUCACUAUGUAUGCUUACCAACUUGUCAUUUACCAUUCAAUUCACAUACUAACUAAUCAAUUCACUAUGUAUGCAUCUAUACUUAGAUUUUGCUAAUAUUUUAUGUCUGUCUGUAUAUCUAGAUGUACACGUGUUAUGGGAAUUCCAUUACAAGUAUAUUUUGAUACGUUGCACUACAGUGGAUUUUUGACCUGUUAUUAGUUAUCACUCUGUUUACAUAUGUGUUCCAGAAGAUCCACAUAAGAAGGCUGGCUAAUAUAAUUUACACUACAGCUGGAUUUCAUUUAACCGAGAUUAAUCUUUUGUUUUGUCAGUUGUGAGCCUGCAACUGUAUUCCAAUCUCAGAUUCUGCUUGUGAUUUAACCUCAUAAUUCUCCAUGCUUAUAUGAGAUGAACUUCGAUCAUAAUCCCAUGUCGGAGAGCUCCAUUUAUAGAUAUCUGGUACUCGGGGUGCUGCCGAAGCUUCCCCUCGAACACAAACUUUCCCGUUAUAAAUGUAUUUAGCAAGUCUCAUUGCCUUGUUCCAAACACUCUCAUCAACUAGAGGCAAGAUGCCAGCAUUAUUCUCCUCCUCAUGGUUCCAAUAUCGCUUUAGCGAGUAAGCGAGGAAGAGCAGCAAACAAACAGUAUAUGUGGCCACGGAUAUAAUGAAAAGACCCCAGAAGCUAUGGAUGCUCAAGCUAUCGGUUUUACUUUCCUCGGUUACGUUGGCCGAACACUCCGGUGAAGGAGCAAACCAUUUUUGUUCCAAUGACAUUAGAGUCCCAUCUUCAGAUAACUUUAAAAUGGCUCUUGAAAAAUCUCUGGCUACUGGAGAACCUUUCUGAAAUAUCUGCAUAUAUAUAAAGAGUUGCAUUACAUUUAUUUCUAUAAAUUUUUGCAGCAAAGAUUCACCAAGUUAGCAAUAUCAUAUACUCACAAAGCCUAAUCCACCGAAUGUGUAUGUAGGUGCGGUAGUGGUAAAUUUCUUGCAAUAAUGGUUAAGGAAAACUCUCCCAUACGGCAGUUCAAGAAAUGCAGCAGCUAUAUGGUUGCUCUUGAAUUCCCCUUCAUAUUUGUAUUCACUGCUAACGUUUUCGAUAUUGUAACUUUUAAACUUGAGGACAUCUUCCAAGUAGGUUCUUACGAACGAAUCACCAUCACACCCGAUUUUCACGUUGGACCGCUUUAGCCAUUCAAUAUCCGUAACAGUCGGUUCUAAUCGUUGCACGGUGAGCAUUGAAGUUAGACUAGCAGUGUAACUAGAGGUUAAGAUCAACGCAACGAAUAGCCAUACUACAACCACAACUUUAGUUAGGUUACUGUAAAUUUUCUCCCCUGAAGAAGGAAAAUAUGAACUGUUUUAGCCUGGACUAAAUUUUCAUACGAAAAGAAGUAUAGAUUUUUGCAGUGGAACUUACUGUGAGCAAAGAAAAUGGAGGAGAAAGUGAACCAAAAUACAGUGCCAAUCUGAUUGUUCCAUGGACCUCUAAAGUCAGGAUUGGACUGGUGUUCUAAGAACCAUACUAUGAACAUUGUGUAGAUUAAGAUGGAACCGGUGACCAACCACAUUUUGGUGGUGAAAGGCUUGAGGAACAUCCAUGCCGAGCUCUCCGGCUUCACCGGAACUAUCAUGGAUAACCCUGUUGCUGCAUAUGGCUGAGUAAAUUCCACAAAAGUUGUUCUAUUAGCUAGUAUAGUUAUGUCACCUACAGCUGCAUCAUAAGUCUUCCAUUGAUUUUGGUAUACAAACAUACAAAAAGAAAAAAAAAGAAAUUAAUAGAGACAAAACAAGCAUCUAAAUCAUGUAGGUGAGUGUCAUAGUUUCUUUUUCACAUCAUUGUCUAAGUAUCAAAUAAAAGUUUGACAAGUUAUCUACGAAUUUCCUGGAAAGAUAAUGGAAUUAUAUAAAAUUUCAGGAAAAACAAAUCAAGGUAAUUAAAAUAAGAAUAAUAUUCAGAGCUAUUGCCUUGUAGUUUUACUUUGUUGGCCUUUGUUAAAAGGGUUGCUUUCACUGUAACUUGUAAGAAACUCCCAUUUUUUUGUUUAAUAAUGAUAAAUAAAUGGUUCAUUACACUUGAAAUUAUGGUCAAACUCUAUGAAUAUUUUCUGUCAUAAUCACAGAAAUUGAGAUUAUUAACAAAAAAAAUUGAAAAAAAUGGACUAGGAGACAAAGGGUAUUUUACCUUGUUGUAGACUUUGUGAACAAGUUCAUCGUAUGUGCCAUUGUGGGGAUCAAAUUGAUAAAUUAAAACAUAUUCAAGAACAUUUACAACUUUAUAGAAAAGUUCAAUGCAGAAACCAUCAUAGUUCUUUUGGCCUGGAUGUUUACCAUCUUCAACCUUUACAAAUUUCUCAAAUGCCGUUCUUGCUGGAACUCCAAUUAUCAUUGGUUUCUUAUUUGUUGGCAUUGCCCAUCCUUUAGGAACUAGCUUUGAACCAUCUGGCCAAAUGACUGUACCAGUAAAAUCUGCAGAUAUAUAACCAACAUAACCAUUGUUCUUUGAGAAUCCAGUCCCUGGUAACCAGAAAUCCAACUCAUUAUAACUUUUUCCAAUCACGUUUACAAUCCUUAGUAUAGGAUCGUGUGAUAAUUUGCGUUGUUGAAAGUGAAUUUCGCCGCUUAAACCUGUGAAAUUGCUUGAAAGUAUGUUUUUCAACAACGAAUCUGGACUGUUUUCAUCACUGUCCAUGGCCUGCUUGAUGGUUCUGAUGCUGUCGUAUGCUCGUAAGGCGUUAACGCUCGGUUGAAAGUUAUCUUCUUCUGGGUUUUCGUCUCGGAAAGUUCUUCGAAACUGGGGAUAAAACGUUUUGUAAAGAUUAGUACCCUCGUCAUAGUAGGUCUUGAUUCCUAAAAUGCCUUGCAUGGAAGAAAUCACCGAACUGUUAAAAGAAUCGAAGUAAUUCGAGAUGGUAUUCGUAGUGAUCCAUGCUGAGUCUCUUCCAAUAAGUCCAAUCUCCUUUGCUUUUUCAAACAAAUGGAUUGUCAU
rnacentral:lncRNA from 1 species